CCCCGUACACAAAAAUGCACAUACUGUGAGCUCGAUGAGUAGGGCGGGACACGUGGUAUCCUGUCUGAAUAUGGGGGGACCAUCCUCCAAGGCUAAAUACUCCUGACUGACCGAUAGUGAACCAGUACCGUGAGGGAAAGGCGAAAAGAACCCCGGCGAGGGGAGUGAAAAAGAACCUGAAACCGUGUACGUACAAGCAGUGGGAGCCUCUUAAUGGGGUGACUGCGUACCUUUUGUAUAAUGGGUCAGCGACUUAUAUUCUGUAGCAAGGUUAACCGAAUAGGGGAGCCGAAGGGAAACCGAGUCUUAACUGGGCGUUAAGUUGCAGGGUAUAGACCCGAAACCCGGUGAUCUAGCCAUGGGCAGGUUGAAGGUUGGGUAACACUAACUGGAGGACCGAACCGACUAAUGUUGAAAAAUUAGCGGAUGACUUGUGGCUGGGGGUGAAAGGCCAAUCAAACCGGGAGAUAGCUGGUUCUCCCCGAAAGCUAUUUAGGUAGCGCCUCGUGAAUUCAUCUCCGGGGGUAGAGCACUGUUUCGGCAAGGGGGUCAUCCCGACUUACCAACCCGAUGCAAACUGCGAAUACCGGAGAAUGUUAUCACGGGAGACACACGGCGGGUGCUAACGUCCGUCGUGAAGAGGGAAACAACCCAGACCGCCAGCUAAGGUCCCAAAGUCAUGGUUAAGUGGGAAACGAUGUGGGAAGGCCCAGACAGCCAGGAUGUUGGCUUAGAAGCAGCCAUCAUUUAAAGAAAGCGUAAUAGCUCACUGGUCGAGUCGGCCUGCGCGGAAGAUGUAACGGGGCUAAACCAUG
rnacentral:rRNA from 1 species